rnacentral:lncRNA from 1 species
CAUCAUAAAAACAUCAUGGGUCCCUGUCUGCUUAAUUAGCUUGAAGAGUCCACAUGCUUAAGAUCCUCUCAUGGUCUUUAGAGCAUCGUAAUCGAUAGGAAACAAGCCGGAUAAUUUCACAUACAGUACACUCUUGAAUGGGUGAAACAAUGGCUGAACUAUGCUAACAUCUUGAUGCUUCUGAUCUAUGGAAUAAAGGUUGAAAAUGUGCAUCACCUCUGAUGCCGAAUAUGAGGAAUAUAAGAGAAAAAAAAGAAAAAAAAACAUUGAACAACUGAAGGUGUGAGCUAAAUCCAUGAGGGGAACGGUGUUAGCAGACGAGCACACAUGACUACUCUUAAAGUUUUGUAAGGAUUCUUCACGAGCGCAGUGUCACGUUCAGUAGAGCCG